UACGUAGGGUGCAAGCGUUAAUCGGAAUUACUGGGCGUAAAGGGCUCGUAGGCGGCCAACUAAGUCGGACGUGAAAUCCCUCAGCUUAACUGGGGAACUGCGUCCGAUACUGGAUGGCUUGGAUUUGGGAGAGGGAUGCGGAAUUCCAGGUGUAGCGGUGAAAUGCGUAGAUAUCUGGAGGAAUACCGGUGGCGAAGGCGGCAUCCUGGACCGGCAUUGACGCUGAGGAGCGAAAGCCAGGGGAGCAAACGGG
rnacentral:rRNA from 1 species